GAUUAACGCUAGCGGCAGGCAUAAUACAUGCAAGUUGAACGGCAGCACAGGUAGCAAUACUGGGUGGCGAGUGGCGCACGGGUGCGUAACACGUAUGCAACCUACCCUAUACAGGCGAAUAACCUUUAGAAAUGAGGGCUAAUACGCCGUAGUAUUACAGAUGCGCAUCUAUUUGUAAUUAAAGAUUUAUCGUUCUAGGAUGGGCAUGCGUCCCAUUAGUUAGUUGGUAAGGUAACGGCUUACCAAGACGAUGAUGGGUAGGGGAUCUGAGAGGACUUACCACCACACCGGUACUGAGACACGGACCCGACUCCUACGGGAGGCAGCAGUAAGGAAUAUUGGGCAAUGGACGCGAGGCUGACCCAGCCAUGCCGCGUGCAGGAAGACGGCCUUAUGGGUUGUAAACUGCUUUUAUACGGGAAUAAUAGAGUGUACGCGUACAUUUAUGCAAGUAUCGUAUGAAUAAGCAUCGGCUAACUCCGUG
rnacentral:rRNA from 1 species